UGCGAGGCUGCACAGCUGCUCCCCAGGUCCUUCUCACAGAGGAUACUGCUGACGAUCAAAAGAGUGGGCUUGCCGUACCUGAGCUUUAUGCAGAGAUCAACCUCUUGGCUGACCGGAAGGAGGACUCAGAGAGGAGCAGGGGCCAUGGGCAGGUUCCGCAAGUCCACACUGCGUAUGCAUGUAUCCAGGAACCCAGACCAUGAAGAAACUGGAGCAAUGAGGGGCAUUGGCAUGGCAUCCACAUGUAAGAGAAAACUCAUCCUUCUGAACAUUCAUUCAACAUGAUGUAUUCGAGUACCAUCCAUUUCAUUCUUCUUUAUGGAUGAAUAAUACUGCAUUGUGUAUAUGUGCCACAUUUUCUGGAUCCACUCAUCUAUUAGUUGUAGGGCAUUUGGAUUUUUUCCACGUCUUGGCUAUAGGGAAUGGUGUCAUGAUGAAUGAGUGUGCAGGGGCCUUUACUACAUUCCCGCCUUAAAUUCCUUUGGCUAUAUGCCCAAGAGUGGUAUGACUAGAUUAUAGGUCAGUUCUGUUUUUAGUUUCUGAGGAAGUUCUAUACCAAUUUCCAUAGCAGCU